rnacentral:lncRNA from 1 species
UUGUCCAGGAGACCUCAGGCGGUGUCUCGUGAAAGCGCCGGCCUGGCUUUGCUGAGCCAGCGGCCGCGUCUCCCCGAUCGGGGAGGCCCUCAGCCCAGGAUGCUCUCCCGAGUCUGGGAAAACAGCCAAAGAGGCGUGGGGCUCACACCUUCUGGGGCACCAGCCUAAGUGCCCGCUCGCACAAGUGCCGCGCUACUCAGCCUUCUCUGCGCGGGGACGCUAGUUGUGGAGGCUCGAGUCGAACUCAUCGCCUGAGGGGAGAAGGCCGGCUGCACUCUACAAACCCUGGCAUCCAGAGGCAUCGUCGCCCCCUGCUCCGCAGAAACACUGGCCACCCUGUGGGCUGGGAGAAGGCCAAGGCCUAGGCUCGCACGCGGGAAACACGGGAGCACGGGAAACGGGACAGGUGGCUAGGGGCGUUCUUCCGAGGACUGCUUCGGAAGAGAGGCCAACGUGACGGAGACGGAGAGUGGGGCCCACAAGAGUGAAGCCCGGGAGGCGUCUCGGAGGCAGAUGUCCACAAGGAGGCCAGGCGCACGGGGUGGGCCUAGAAUCUGGAGGGCCACGCCUCAGGCGUGAAAGUUAGAGCACUGAAGGUGCGAGGAGACAUUUCACGCCAGCGGGGAUGUUUGACAGACACCUGCCCUGGCGCUACGUGCGGCACAGGGGAGCUGAGUUUGUCCUGCCGGCUUUGGGUCCCGUGAUGUGUCACUGGGGCCAGGGGCACCUGGGCGCAUCCUGGCAAGAAGGAAGGGAGCGCAGCUCCCUCAAGCGUCUCCCGUCUGUGCUUCCAACUCUGUCCUCCAGCCUGAUUCCCUUCAAUGUGUCUGUCUGCACAGCCCGAGGGCUGGCAUGCCAAGGACACCGACCGCCCAGGGAGUCCAGCUGGAGCCUUAUCCCCUGCACAGCGGCAAUACUCACUGGGGGUGUCUGCCAGGGAGGAGACGGCCAGGCCCUGGAAGCAGAAGACGGCACUGCUCGACUGAGUCCAGCAGGACUCGGACUGGCCGACGUCCGUGGCGCAGGUCCAGGAGUAUUCCUCCAGGCACGCUCUCGGGAGCGGAGGCUCGACCGUGGGCGGCACAUCCCUGCCGAGCCUGUGGGCGGAGGGAGGGCUCAAGUGGAGACAAGCGGCUUUGGGAAACACACAUUCCUAGAGCUGCUUUCCCUGGAAGGUGGAAGGGUCUGCUCACAGAAGAGCAAUGGGAAGGGCUCAGCCAGGGAGAUCACACAAUCCUCCUCUGGCUGGGGCCAGGCCGCAGUUGAAGUGGGAACAGGAGAGAGAGCUGGAAAAAGACAGACACAGAGACAGAGAGGGCCGGGGGGGUGGGGCGCGCAGGGAGAGAGACAGAGAGCGCGAGAGAGCGAGCGAUCCAGCGUGAGCCGACGAGAGACAGACAGACAGACACAGACACAGAGACAGAGACAGAGACAGAGACAGAGAGACAGACAGAGAGAGACAGACAGAGAGACACAGAGAGAGAGAGGGAGAGAGACAGACACACAGACAGAGACAGAGGAGGAGAGAGCGAGCAGAGCUUGCUCAGAGCACCGAGCAGAAAAUGAGCUCUUGAGCAAGGAGGACGAGCGCCUCCACUCCACAAGAGUCAUCACACACCCACACACUCAGAGGACCCUAAAGGCGGCGUCAACACUCUUGCAUCCAGUUGGAAAUGCACAGACAGCUGCCAAGUGAACCCUGCCUGGCUCUGGCACCACUGUCGACUCCCAGAAAUCUGGAAGCUGCAAGGUCUGCCUCUCUCCCUACUGGGGCAUGAUGCGGACUUGGGUCACGAAGGACCGUCUUGGCCGGGAAAUAGCCGCCACCGUGGGAACGGCAACCGGGCAGAGGCAGACAUGCGUCCCCCGCUGGGUGACAGAAGAAAGAGAGAACGGGAGAGCGCACGCCAUCCGCCGACAGAUGAGCACACCUCCGGCAUCUGACCGCACGUGACCACACUGGAGAGAGAUCACGGAAUUGGCCCAUCCGAGGACCACGGUGAGAAACACAGAGCACUGUGGGAAAGGGACACUUGGCGGUUGCGUGCGUGGGGGAAACGGGGAUAGUCAGCGCUCGCUGAACUCCCUCGAUCGGAGAUGCCCAGAUGGCCCCUUCCAAUGGAGUCCCGGGAUCUUCCGAGUUACCUGCAACACAGGCCGUCUUGGGACGCCCCCGUCGUUCUUCGGAUCGGUGUGUUGGCCUGGAAAGAUAUGUACACCCGGCCAGUCACACUUAGCAGAUCCCCACUCGACCCUUGGGAAUUCAGUGUCCAGUCCCAGCCCAGGGACCUCCACAUCCUCAGUGUGACAACGGCAGACGGGAAGAACAAUCUGCCAAGAGACCUCAAGCGGUGUCUCGUGAAAGCGCCGGCCUGGCUUUGCUGAACCAGCGGGCCGCCUCUCCCCGAUCGGGGAAGCCCUCAGCCCAGGAAGCUCUCCCGAGUCUGGGAAAACAGCCAAAGAGGCGUGGGGCUCACACCUUCUGGGGCACCAGCCUAAGUGCCCGCUCGCACAAGUGCCGCGCUACUCAGCCUUCUCUGCGCGGGGACGCUAGUUGUGGAGGCUCGAAUCGAACUCAUCGCCUGAGGGGAGAAGGCCGGCUGCACUCUACAAACCCU